rnacentral:rRNA from 1 species
UACGUAGGGAGCAAGCGUUGUUCGGAUUUACUGGGCGUAAAGGGCGCGUAGGCGGCAGAUCAAGUCAGCUGUGAAAUCUCCGAGCUUAACUCGGAACUGUCAGCUGAUACUGUUUUGCUAGAGUGCGGAAGGGGCAAUCGGAAUUCUUGGUGUAGCGGUGAAAUGCGUAGAUAUCAAGAGGAACACCUGAGGUGAAGACGGGUUGCUGGGCCGACACUGACGCUGAGUGCGCGAAAGCCAGGGGGAGCAAACAGG